rnacentral:rRNA from 1 species
UACGAAGGGUGCAAACGUUGCCCGGAAUCAUUGGGCGUAAAGCGCACGUAGGCGGCUUGCCAAGUCGGACGUGAAAUCCCUCAGCUCAACUGAGGACGUGCAUCCGAAACUGGCGAGCUUGAGUACUGAAGAGGAUCGCGGAAUUCCCGGUGUAGAGGUGAAAUUCGUAGAUAUCGGGAGGAACACCAGUGGCGAAGGCGGCGAUCUGGGCAGAUACUGACGCUGAGGUGCGAAAGCGUGGGGAGCAAACAGG